CAAUAGCGUAUAUUAAAGUUGUUGCAGUUAAAAAGCUCGUAGUUGGAUUUCUGGUGGGAGCGAUCGGUCUGGCGCUUAGCGCGAGUACUUGCAUCGUCUCCGGCCAUCCUUGGGGAGAGUCUGUCUGGCAUUAAGUUGUCGGGCAGAGGAUCCUCAUCGUUUACUGUGAAAAAAUUAGAGUGUUCAAAGCAGGCUUAUGCCGUUGAAUAUAUUAGCAUGGAAUAAUAAGAUAGGACUUUGGUACUAUUUUGUUGGUUUACGCACCAAAGUAAUGAUUAAUAGGGACAGUUGGGGGUAUUCGUAUUCCGUUGUCAGAGGUGGAAUUCUUGGAUUUACGGAAGACGAACUACUGCGAAAGCAUUUACCAAGGAUGUUUUCAUUAA
rnacentral:rRNA from 1 species